rnacentral:rRNA from 1 species
AUUGAACGCUGGCGGCAGGCUUAACACAUGCAAGUCGAGCGGUAACAGGAGAAGCUUGCUUCUCGCUGACGAGCGGCGGACGGGUGAGUAAUACUUAGGAAUCUACCUAGUAGUGGGGGAUAGCACGGGGAAACUCGUAUUAAUACCGCAUACGACCUACGGGAGAAAGGGGGCAGUUUACUGCUCUCGCUAUUAGAUGAGCCUAAGUCGGAUUAGCUAGAUGGUGGGGUAAAGGCCUACCAUGGCGACGAUCUGUAGCUGGUCUGAGAGGAUGAUCAGCCACACCGGGACUGAGACACGGCCCGGACUCCUACGGGAGGCAGCAGUGGGGAAUAUUGGACAAUGGGGGAAACCCUGAUCCAGCCAUGCCGCGUGUGUGAAGAAGGCCUUUUGGUUGUAAAGCACUUUAAGCAGUGAAGAAGACUCCAUGGUUAAUACCCAUGGACGAUGACAUUAGCUGCAGAAUAAGCACCGGCUAACUCUGUGCCAGCAGCCGCGGUAAUACAGAGGGUGCAAGCGUUAAUCGGAAUUACUGGGCGUAAAGGGAGCGUAGGUGGCUCUAUAAGUCAGAUGUGAAAUCCCCGGGCUUAACCUGGGAACUGCAUCUGAAACUGUAGAGCUAGAGUAGGUGAGAGGAAGGUAGAAUUCCAGGUGUAGCGGUGAAAUGCGUAGAGAUCUGGAGGAAUACCGAUGGCGAAGGCAGCCUUCUGGCAUCAUACUGACACUGAGGCUCGAAAGCGUGGGUAGCAAACAGG